CCUACGGGGGGCUGCAGUGGGGAAUAUUGGACAAUGGGCGAAAGCCUGAUCCAGCCAUGCCGCGUGUGUGAAGAAGGCCUUCGGGUUGUAAAGCACUUUCAGUGGGGAAGAAAGCCUUGGGGCUAAUACCUUCGAGGAAGGACAUCACCCACAGAAGAAGCACCGGCUAACUCCGUGCCAGCAGCCGCGGUAAUACGGAGGGUGCGAGCGUUAAUCGGAAUUACUGGGCGUAAAGCGCGCGUAGGCGGUCUGAUAAGCCGGUUGUGAAAGCCCCGGGCUCAACCUGGGAACGGCAUCCGGAACUGUCAGGCUAGAGUGCAGGAGAGGAAGGUAGAAUUCCCGGUGUAGCGGUGAAAUGCGUAGAGAUCGGGAGGAAUACCAGUGGCGAAGGCGGCCUUCUGGACUGACACUGACGCUGAGGUGCGAAAGCGUGGGUAGCAAACAGGAUUAGAUACCCGUGUAGUC
rnacentral:rRNA from 1 species